rnacentral:rRNA from 1 species
GUAUGCAAUCUACCUUUUACAGAGGGAUAGCCCAGAGAAAUUUGGAUUAAUACCUCAUAGUAUUACGACCUGGCAUCAGGAUGUAAUUAAAGUCACAACGGUAAAAGAUGAGCAUGCGUCCCAUUAGCUAGUUGGUAAGGUAACGGCUUACCAAGGCUACGAUGGGUAGGGGUCCUGAGAGGGAGAUCCCCCACACUGGUACUGAGACACGGACCAGACUCCUACGGGAGGCAGCAGUGAGGAAUAUUGGACAAUGGGCGCAAGCCUGAUCCAGCCAUGCCGCGUGCAGGAUGACGGCCCUAUGGAUUGUAAACUGCUUUUAUACGAGAAGAAACACUCCUUCGUGAAGGAAUUUGACGGUAUCGUAAGAAUAAGGAUCGGCUAACUCCGUGCCAGCAGCCGCGGUAAUACGGAGGAUCCAAGCGUUAUCCGGAAUCAUUGGGUUUAAAGGGUCCGUAGGCGGUUUAGUAAGUCAGUGGUGAAAGCCCAUCGCUCAACGGUGGAACGGCCAUUGAUACUGCUGAACUUGAAUUAUUAGGAAGUAACUAGAAUAUGUAGUGUAGCGGUGAAAUGCUUAGAGAUUACAUGGGAUACCAAUUGCGAAGGCAGGUUACUACUAAUGGAUUGACGCUGAUGGACGAAAGCGUGGGUAGCGAACAGGAUUAGAUACCCUGGUAGUCCACGCCGUAAACGAUGGAUACUAGCUGUUGGGGGCAACUUCAGUGGCUAAGCGAAAGUGAUAAGUAUCCCACCUGGGGAGUACGAACGCAAGUUUGAAACUCAAAGGAAUUGACGGGGGCCCGCACAAGCGGUGGAGCAUGUGGUUUAAUUCGAUG